GACGUAGGGCGCGAGCGUUGUCCGGAUUUAUUGGGCGUAAAGAGCUCGUAGGCGGUUUGUCGCGUCGGCCGUGAAAACUUGGGGCUUAACUCCAAGCUUGCGGUCGAUACGGGCAGUCUUGAGUUCGGCAGGGGAGACUGGAAUUCCUGGUGUAGCGGUGAAAUGCGCAGAUAUCAGAAGGAACACCGGUGGCGAAGGCGGGUCUCUGGGCCGAUACUGACGCUGAGGAGCGAAAGCGUGGGGAGCGAACAGG
rnacentral:rRNA from 1 species